rnacentral:rRNA from 1 species
AUCCACGCCGUAACGAUGUCAACUAGGUGUCGGUGGUGUUACACUAUCGGUGCCGAAGCAACGCGUUAAGUUGACCGCCUGGGGACUACGGCCGCAAGGCUAAACUCAAAGGAAUUGACGGGCCCGCACAAGCAGCGGAGCGUGUGGUUUAAUUCGAUGCAACACGAAGAACCUUACCUGGGUUUGACAUGGACGUAGUAGUGAACCGAAAGGGGAACGAGCCUUCGGGCAGCGUUCACAGGUGCUGCAUGGCUGUCGU